rnacentral:rRNA from 1 species
CCCCUAGAUGUCCUGGGCCGCACGCGCGCUACACUGACCCACUCAGCAAGUCAACUUCCUGGCCUGGAAAGGUUCGGGUAAUCUUCGCAAUAUGGGUCGUGUUAGGGAUCGAUCUUUGCAAUUAUAGAUCUUGAACGAGGAAUACCUAGUAAGUGCAAGUCAUCAGCUUGUACUGAUUACGUCCCUGCCCUUUGUACACACCGCCCGUCGCUCCUACCGAUUUCGAAUGGUCCGGUGAACCUUCUGGAGUACUCGCAAGAGUGCAAAGUUAAGUAAACCUUAUCAUUUAGAGGAAGGAGAAGUCGUAACA